UCCCUGGUGGCUCAGAGGUUAAAGCGUCUGCCUCCAGUGCGGAAGACCCGGGUUCGAUCCCUGGGUUGGGAA
rnacentral:tRNA from 1 species